rnacentral:rRNA from 1 species
UACGGAGGGUGCAAGCGUUAUCCGGAUUCACUGGGUUUAAAGGGUGCGUAGGUGGGAAUGUAAGUCAGUGGUGAAAUCUCCGUGCUUAACAUGGAAACUGCCAUUGAUACUAUAGGUCUUGAAUUUUCUGGAGGUAAGCGGAAUAUGUCAUGUAGCGGUGAAAUGCUUAGAUAUGACAUAGAACACCAAUUGCGAAGGCAGCUUGCUACAGGGAUAUUGACACUGAGGCACGAAAGCGUGGGGAUCAAACAGG